AGGCUCCCAGAGAAAGAAUCCUAGAACAUCAAGCCUUGGGGCUUGGUUUCGUCAUGGCAAAACCAGUCUUUAGCUAAACCAGUGCGUUGGCCCUGCUUCCUCUCCGGCCCAGGGUGUGCCCAGUCUUUGCCAUAGAGUAGGUGCUGGGUAAACGAACAUUUGUUUAGUGAAUGAAUAAGGGGGCAUUAAGAACUUUCAAAGCGGCGAUAGUGAGCUGCUAUUAGUGGGAGGAACCAAGGAGCUGCUGGACGGCCGUUCGCGUGGGGUCUCCUCUCAGGGAGUGCCGGGGCCUAGGAGAACCUUGCGCGGCCGGGCCAGGGCGUGUGAGGCUAACUCGGAACGGUCCCCGAGGGCGGGGGCGAUAGGCCGCGGGCUUAGUUCACGCCCCCGCGCCGCCGCACUCCCCGCACCCGCAAGGCCGGGCCCGCGCCUCCCCGUCGCGCCGCUCUGGCCGGGGGCGCAGCCGGAGGCUCGCGGGAGCUGACGCGGCUGCCGGCGUCCCGGGCAGGCUCCGCUCUCAGGAGCGACGCGCCGCCGCCGUAAUUGGAGCCCGCGCCGCACCGCCAGGCUGCUACAAUAGAAUCUCAUAGACUGCAUGGCUCAAACAGCAAAAAUUUAUUCCCCACAGUUUUGGAGAUGAAGCCCAAGCAAGAUCUGGGUGCCAGUACGGUGGGAUUCUGGUGGGAACCCUUUUCCGGGCUGCAGCCUGCCAGCUUUUCACUGUGUCCUCAUGUGGCAGAAAGGGAGCAGGAGAGCUUUUUGCAAUCUCUUUAUAAGGGCACUAAUCCCAUUCAUGAGGGCUUCACUCUUCUGAGAUUAGGACCCCCAUCCUCCUUACAGGUGAGGACCCCAUCCUCCCGGGGUGGCGGCAAGGGACGUCUCCUCAAGACCCCCCGUUGACGGCCCACCAGCGCAUCCACUUAAGCCAAUGCCGACCUAAUACAGAUUGGAAUUCCUUCAGGUUAGAGCUCUCAGAAAUAUGCGCACAAAAGGUGGAAAAAGUUGAGUGCACUCACCAUGCAUGAAACCCUCCGGAUGGGGUCCUGGAGGUUUCUUGGAUCCCGGACGAGCCCCCAAAUGUUGUGCCCAAGACUGCGAAUCCGAGAAACCACCAAGGAGCCGACACCGAUGCAAACACACAAGGGUUUAUUUACAAGCUCGAGCUUGGGUCCAAGUAUACCUGACACAGUGGAGCAGGGACUUGGACCUAAAGAAGAUUUUUUAAAAUGCCUCUGAAGGCAGUGCCAAACUGCUGAGCCACCUGGGAAGAACUGCCCAAGCAGAACUGCCUUGAGAUCCAUUUAAGAUAUUUUGUUCCUGGGAUCCCUGGGUGGCUCAGCGGUUUAGCGCCUGCCUUUGGCCCAGGAUGUGGUCCUGGAGACCCAGGAUCGAGUCCCACAUCAGGAUCCCUGCAUGGAGCCUGCUUCUCCCUCUGCCGGUGUCUCUGCCUCUCUUCUCUCUCUGUGUCUCUCAUGAUAAAUAAAUAAAAUCUUAAAAAAAAAAAAAA